rnacentral:rRNA from 1 species
UGGGGAAUAUUGCACAAUGGGCGCAAGCCUGAUGCAGCCAUGCCGCGUGUGUGAAGAAGGCCUUCGGGUUGUAAAGCACUUUCAGCGAGGAGGAAGGGUAGUGUGUUAAUAGCACAUUGCAUUGACGUUACUCACAGAAGAAGCACCGGCUAACUCCGUGCCAGCAGCCGCGGUAAUACGGAGGGUGCAAGCGUUAAUCGGAAUUACUGGGCGUAAAGCGCACGCAGGCGGUUUGUUAAGUCAGAUGUGAAAUCCCCGCGCUUAACGUGGGAACUGCAUUUGAAACUGGCAAGCUAGAGUCUUGUAGAGGGGGGUAGAAUUCCAGGUGUAGCGGUGAAAUGCGUAGAGAUCUGGAGGAAUACCGGUGGCGAAGGCGGCCCCCUGGACAAAGACUGACGCUCAGGUGCGAAAGCGUGGGGAGCAAACA